rnacentral:rRNA from 1 species
AUUGAACGCUGGCGGCAUGCCUUACACAUGCAAGUCGAACGGCAGCACGGGUGCUUGCACCUGGUGGCGAGUGGCGAACGGGUGAGUAAUACAUCGGAACAUGUCCUGUAGUGGGGGAUAGCCCGGCGAAAGCCGGAUUAAUACCGCAUACGAUCUACGGAUGAAAGCGGGGGACCUUCGGGCCUCGCGCUAUAGGGUUGGCCGAUGGCUGAUUAGCUAGUUGGUGGGGUAAAGGCCUACCAAGGCGACGAGCAGUAGCUGGUCUGAGAGGAGGACCAGCCACCUGGGGAGGAAGACAGGGCCACGACGCCUGGGGGAGGGAGCAGGGGGGUAUUUGGGAAAGUGGGGGAAAGUUUGGCCCAGAAGUCCGGGGGGGGAGAAAAGGCCUUCGGGUUUGAAAAGACUUUGGGCCGGGAAAGAAACCCUUGCCCCAAAUACGGGGGGGGAGUGAGGGUACGGGAAAAAAAAGCACAGGCUAACUACGGG